rnacentral:rRNA from 1 species
AUGCGGUAUGACGGUACCCUUUCGAAUAAGAGGUUGCUAACUCUGUGCCAGCAGCAGCGGUAAUACAGAGACCUCGAGCGUUAUCCGGAUUUACUGGGCGUAAAGCGUCUGUAGGGGGUUUGUUAAGUUCCAAGUAAAAUCUUAAGGCUCAACUUUAAGUUCGCUUGGAAAACUAAUAAACUGGAGUCCAGCAGAGGUGCAUGGAACUUGCGGUGUAGGAGUGAAAUCCGUUGAUAUCGCAAGGAACACCAAAGGCGAAGGCAUUGCACUGGGCUGGUACUGACCCUGAGAGACGAAAGCGUGGGGAGCAAAACGGAUUAGAUACCCGUGUAGUCCACGCCGUAAACGAUGGAUACUAGAUGUUCGGGGAUUCGACCCCCUGGGUGUCACAGCUAACGCGUUAAGUAUCCCGCCUGGGAAGUACGGCCGCAAGGCUAAAACUCAAAGGAAUAGACGGGGAUCCGCACAAGCGGUGGAGCGUCUGGUUUAAUUUGAUAGUAAGCAAUGGACCUCACCAAGGUUUGACAUCCUAUGACAACCCUGGAAACAGGGCUUCCUUCGGGCAUAGUGACAGGUGCUGCAUGGUCGUCGUCAGUUCGUGCCGUGAGGUGUUCCGUUAAGUCGGGAAACGAACGAAACCCUCGUCGCAUGUUACAAAUUUCAUGCGAGACUGCCCGGGUCAACCGGGAGGAAGGCGGGGAUGACGUCAGAUCAGCAUGGCCCUUAUACCUUGGGCUACACAGGCGCUACAAUGGCCGGUACAAAGGGUUGCAAAACCGCGAGGUGAAGCUAAUCCCAUAAAGCCGGUCCAAGUUCGGAUUGGAGGCUGCAACUCGCCUCCAUGAAGUUGGAAUCGCUAGUAAUCGUGGAUCAGCCAUACCACGGUGAAUACGUUCCCGGAUCUUGUACUCACCGCCCGUCACACCAAGAGAGUUGGUAGCUCAUGAAGC